GAUGAACGCUGGCGGCGUGCCUAAUACAUGCAAGUCGAGCGAACAGACGAGGAGCUUGCUCCUCUGACGUUAGCGGCGGACGGGUGAGUAACACGUGGAUAACCUACCUAUAAGACUGGGAUAACUUCGGGAAACCGGAGCUAAUACCGGAUAAUAUAUUGAACCGCAUGGUUCAAUAGUGAAAGACGGUUUUGCUGUCACUUAUAGAUGGAUCCGCGCCGCAUUAGCUAGUUGGUAAGGUAACGGCUUACAAAGGCAACGAUGCGUAGCCGACCUGAGAGGGUGGUCGGGCACACUGGAACUGAAACACGGGCCAGACUACUACGGGAGGCAGCAGUAGGGAAACUUACGCAAUGGGCGAAAGCCUGACGGAGCAACGCCGAGUGAGUGAUGAAGGUCUUCGGAUCGUAAAACUCUGUUAUUAGGGAAGAACAAAUGUGUAAGUAACUAUGCACGUCUUGACGGUACCUAAUCAGAAAGCCACGGCUAACUACGUG
rnacentral:rRNA from 1 species